ACUUAAAACGAGUGGCGGACGGGUGAGUAACACGUGGGUAACCUGCCCUUAAGUGGGGGAUAACAUUUGGAAACAGAUGCUAAUACCGCAUAAAUCCAAGAACCGCAUGGUUCUUGGCUGAAAGAUGGCGCAAGCUAUCGCUUUUGGAUGGACCCGCGGCGUAUUAGCUAGUUGGUGAGGUAACGGCUCACCAAGGCGAUGAUACGUAGCCGAACUGAGAGGUUGAUCGGCCACAUUGGGACUGAGACACGGCCCAAACUCCUACGGGAGGCAGCAGUAGGGAAUCUUCCACAAUGGACGCAAGUCUGAUGGAGCAACGCCGCGUGAGUGAAGAAGGCUUUCGGGUCGUAAAACUCUGUUGUUGGAGAAGAAUGGUCGGCAGAGUAACUGUUGUCGGCGUGACGGUAUCCAACCAGAAAGCCACGGCUAACUACGUGCCAGCAGCCGCGGUAAUACGUAGGUGGCAAGCGUUAUCCGGAUUUAUUGGGCGUAAAGCGAGCGCAGGCGGUUUUUUAAGUCUGAUGUGAAAGCCCUCGGCUUAACCGAGGAAGCGCAUCGGAAACUGGGAAACUUGAGUGCAGAAGAGGACAGUGGAACUCCAUGUGUAGCGGUGAAAUGCGUAGAUAUAUGGAAGAACACCAGUGGCGAAGGCGGCUGUCUGGUCUGUAACUGACGCUGAGGCUCGAAAGCAUGGGUAGCGAACAGGAUUAGAUACCCUGGUAGUCCAUGCCGUAAACGAUGAAUGCUAGGUGUUGGAGGGUUUCCGCCCUUCAGUGCCGCAGCUAACGCAUUAAGCAUUCCGCCUGGGGAGUACGACCGCAAGGUUGAAACUCAAAGGAAUUGACGGGGGCCCGCACAAGCGGUGGAGCAUGUGGUUUAAUUCGAAGCAACGCGAAGAA
rnacentral:rRNA from 2 species